UACGGAGGGUGCAAGCGUUAUCCGGAUUCACUGGGUUAAAGGGUGCGUAGGCGGGCAGGUAAGUCCGUGGUGAAAUCUCUGAGCUUAACUCAGAAACUGCCAUGGAUACUAUUUGUCUUGAAUAUUGUGGAGGUAAGCGGAAUAUGUCAUGUAGCGGUGAAAUGCUUAGAUAUGACAUAGAACACCAUUGCGAAGGCAGCUUACUACACAGUUAUUGACGCUGAGGCACGAAAGCGUGGGGAUCAAACAGG
rnacentral:rRNA from 1 species